rnacentral:rRNA from 1 species
GCCGACAUUAACGCACAAACAUAUACCAACAAGUAAACAAAACAUUUGACCAUCCUAGUAGAUGUGAUCGAACAGUAAACCAUUUAUGUACCGAAAGGGAAACUAAACAAGCAACAAACAGCAAAGAUUAACCCUUGUACCUUUG